rnacentral:ribozyme from 13 species
UGUUUACCCCCUUUUUUUUUUUCUUUUUUUUUUCUUUUUUUUUGU